GACGAACGCUGGCGGCGUGCUUUAGGCAUGCCAGUCGAACGCGAAAGCCCCUUCGGGGGUGAGUAGAGUGGCGAACGGGUGAGUAACACGUGGGUAACCUGCCCCUCGCAGGGGGAUAACCGGGGGAAACCCCGGCUAAUACCCCGUACGCUUGCUGGGGCGCAUGCUCCGGCAAGGAAAGGUAGCUUCGGCCAUCCGGCGAGGGAGGGGCCCGCGGCCCAUUAGCUAGUUGGUGGGGUAACGGCCCACCAAGGCGACGAUGGGUAGCUGGCCUGAGAGGGUGGUCAGCCACACUGGGACUGAGACACGGCCCAGACGCCUACGGGAGGCAGCAGCCAGGAAUCUUGCGCAAUGGGCGAAAGCCUGACGCAGCAACGCCGCGUGGGAGAUGAAGGCCUUCGGGUCGUAAAGCCCUGUUGUCGGGGACGAAGGGCGAAGGGUUAAUAGCCCCUAGCCUGACGGUACCCGACGAGGAAGCCCCGGCUAACUACGUG
rnacentral:rRNA from 1 species